rnacentral:snRNA from 1 species
AGAGUAAAGAUAAUCUGGCUGCGACAUCUGUCACUUCAUUGAUCGCCAGGAUUGAUUCGGCUGAUCUGACUGGUUAGGCAGAUGCCCCCUUCCUCCCUCUCUGCUCCAUGUGUGUCCCUCCUCUGCAGAUAUGUGACUGUUCCUAAUAGUUUAUAUUCAGCCCCAGCAGUUGGGAUAAUUAGUUGAAGAUAGUUGAGAAAUGUGUUUGGUUUUAAUUCCAGGGCUCCCUAGAAUCCUAGGAUUCCACAGGAGGCUGUUAGGGGGAUCCAGGAGAGAUUUUUUAAAAUCCUUUUUGAGCUGUUGAUAUAA